AUACGUAGGGUGCGAGCGUUGUCCGGAAUUACUGGGCGUAAAGAGCUCGUAGGUGGUUUGUCGCGUCGUCUGUGAAAUUCCGGGGCUUAACUCCGGGCGUGCAGGCGAUACGGGCAUAACUUGAGUACUGUAGGGGAGACUGGAAUUCCUGGUGUAGCGGUGAAAUGCGCAGAUAUCAGGAGGAACACCGGUGGCGAAGGCGGGUCUCUGGGCAGUAACUGACGCUGAGGAGCGAAAGCAUGGGUAGCGAACAGGAUUAUAUACCCUGGUAGUCCAUGCCGUAAACGGUGGGCGCUAGGUGUAGGGGUCUUCCACGACUUCUGUGCCGUAGCUAACGCAUUAAGCGCCCCGCCUGGGGAGUACGGCCGCAAGGCUAAAACUCAAAUGAAUUGACGGGG
rnacentral:rRNA from 1 species